GGCUCUUCAUACGACAGGGGCGCUGAGCUACUUGUCACUGGAAUAUUGAGUAACUCAAAUUUUUCCGGAACCCUGUCGUACCUUCACCCCUGGACCCCUAGACCCGUGAGCGCCAAAACAGAGAGAAUGAGGAGGAGCUUCUUCCCCCAGGCUAUUCUUCUAUCUUCUACCUCUGCUACACGUGCUGACAUAUUGCAUCUCUGUGUGGUUCUCGAGCUGCACAAUGGCAUACAAAGGGUCAUUACCGUCACCCAGAAAAUCAUUGGCAACCCCCUCCCCUCCCUGGAGGACCUCUACAGCACCUGCUGUCUCAAAAUGGGAUACAACAUUUCGAUAUAUGUUAUUUAUUAUGAUUACUUCUUGUCUUUCUUUUAGCAACAGUGUGCUUUUAGCUCCAAUUUCAUUGUAAUAUUAUACAAUGUAUGACUGCACAGUGACAACGAGUUAAAGAGUUAGAAUUUUUGUAAUAGACAAAUAACC